GUCUUGUCUGAGGAGUUAUCAUUCUUUAGUGGGGAUGUAAACCAGAUGCUGUAAUUCUAUACGUUUUCAGAAGUUCUUAUUAAGAAAGUCAGUGUCAACGGGCGUUUCUUCUCCACCUGCACAUCACGGACAUCAGAGAAACAACGACAAAUUUGUGGCGUCACGAACAGGAUUAGAUGCAGGAUUCUUCGGCAGCUGGCAGCUCCCUUGGUCGCUCUUCACCGUCCUGAUUCGACGCGUCAGGUGAGCUGGUUUCUCACUUUAUUGGGACGCUGAUUUGCUCAUGGGGGCUGUGGGCUUUUGCUGAUGUGCUGCACUGUUAGAAGUGUGUGCGCUGAUGUCCUGUGCUGUGUUGGUGUUUGGAGCGAUGUUCCGUCUAAAUUGGGGUUAAUUGCGCAUAAGUAGGUAAAGUGGGGAUAGAAUAGAGUAGACAGAUAAAUGUUGGGAUAAGAGAAAUAGAAGUUGAAGUGAGAUAUAUAAAUGUUGAAGUGAGACUGUAGGAAAACAGUAUAGAAACCAAAGCAGUAGAUUUUAUCCCUGGCCAGGGUUAGUGAUUGGCAUAAUAGAGAAUAGGAAAAAAGAGUAGAGAAAAAAUAGAGGGCUCGAGGAGCCUAUGAUUAGAUGUGUUUUUUACGGAGUUGAAAUGGUAAGCAGUUAAGGAAGGACAAGCCGCAGAUUCGGAUAAAGUCCUCAGGGAGGCAGUUGGCCAUAAAAAAAAAGGAAACCUGUUUUUGUAUGGGUCAGUUCAUAGAACUGGGGGUGUAGAUUUUAAUUCAAUUGUAGAUAAGUUCCCACUCGAUUUAUAAGUAGACGUACUGUAAACGAAGCAGCUUUUCAAUUGAGUAUUUUACACCCCAGAGGCCUUAUAAAUUUAGAUGAUAAGAGAAAGAGUAAAAGUCAAAGAAGCGGCUCAAGCAUGCUUUUAGGAUAUGUGUGAAUGACUUGGUUCCGGGAUCGAAGGUUGACUGUGUUUUUGGAUGAUGUUAAAUAGGCCUAUGUGUUUUAUUUUGUGGAUCUGAUUUGUUGGCUUGUGGGUUGAUUGGUUGCUUCUGGUUUGUGCUUGCGCCAGUAGCUGCGUCUGUGUCUUGUCAGCGCUCUGUCUUAGCUGCCCCCGCCUUGCGUGUGUGCGUGUGCUGCUGUAAUGUGUGAAAGACUGGUAUGUGCUGUAAUAUGUGAAUGGAAUAUAUAAGAGAUUUCUUGUUAAUGAAUAUAUACAUAUAGGUUGGGAUUUAACAAUUUAGAAGGAAAGACAUUGUCGUUUCUUUAGUGUUAAAUUUAUUAGUCUUUUUGUCUGCUAACACAUAUAUGAGCCACAUUGAGGACUUUCUGUAACAUUGCUAAUAUAAUAAAAUAAAUGAGCCUUAUAAAGGACUAUUGUGGACUAAUAAAGUGUAUGAGCCUCAUGGUGGACGUUUAUAUAUUUGAUGAGAUAUAUGAGCCUUGCUGAGUCCGAGAGACCAGUGAGGACAUUCUGUUUGCAUAAGCAUAACUAAAUAUUUUAGGGGGGAAAACACACAUAGGGAAAGAAAACCAAUAAAGUUCCUCAGGGUCAGAUGGUAUAUUUUGAUUUUGUGGAUGGUACUGGUGGAUUGAUUGGUUGAUUGUGUGGUGUGUAAUCUUUCCUUUCAUGGAUAUCUGUUGCAAACCAUCUGGUAGAACAUAUUUGUUUUUCUGUAAGUUGUUUAGCGUGGUGUUAUGUUGUAAAGACCAUGGGUGUGACCUGUAGUGUGUUUAAUGUUUCCUGGCUGAAUUCAUUAUAUUGGUAAUUUAUUUGUGUUACAAAAUAAAAGUAUCUGCUAGUUGCAAAUUGUGGAAAAGGUGAAUAUUCCUUCUUUAGUGUUGGUUGUUCUGCGUAGUUCGCCACAAUAUAUUUGAAUUUGAACUCGAGUUUAUAAUAAUAAUAAUAAUUUAUAAUAAUAAUAAUCUGUAUUUUGGCUGUUGAUGUGGAUGUUGCUUUGGUCUUAGUGUGCACCUUUUUGACUCUGUGCCUGUGAUAUGGGGCCGAGGUGAUUUAACGGGGAGCUGAAGCUUGAUGUUCACUCUCUAGUGGUCAAGAUAGACUGGAAGUGUUUGUUGAUUUUGAGAGGUGGAGUUAGGAGUGCUGUUCUGUUUUAAGCUCACUCAUCCUGAGGGGAGGGGUUCUCCCUCCCUCCUCUCCUUCUGGAUGAGAGAAAAAGAGAACUGUGGUUGAGAACCUACAAUUGGAUUUGAGCGCACUUCAAUACUCCCUCGUUUGAUUUUAAAUCAAUAAUACAUAAUAUAAAUAUGAUUAUGAUGUAUGUUUAGAAUGAAUAUAAAAUGAAAGUAAGGGAUUUCUUUGUAGAAUAAUAUGAUAGAUACGAUAGGUUUGUGCCUAUUAAUUGUUUAUAGAGAGACCUUGUAGGGAACAUUCCUAUUGUGAUAGAAUGAAAUAAUAUCAAUGUUGGUGAAUAAUGUGAACGAAUUCUGUUGAAUUGUUUAUUAUAUGAUGAUUUAAAGUGAAUAUAAGACAUUAAACUUUUGUUCUGUUUCUCUUUCCUUUCUUUUAUUUGAUUGUGAUGAAUGUGAGUUGGGGAAGAGGAUGGAGAACCACAUGAUUGUGUUCAGGAAGCAGAGAAAUACUCAAGGCUCAGGUCAGAUUUGCAAGCUUUUCCGUUGCAUGAGCCAGACUUGGAGUACUGGACUGAUGGAUCCUGCUAUCGAAUAGGGGACAAAUUGUGUGCUGGUUAUGCAGUAGUGAAAUUUCAGGGGAAUGGAUUUGUUGUUGAGGUAGCGGAGGUAAUACCACAACCUGCCUCUGCACAGCUGGCUGAACUUGUGGGGCUGACUGAAGCAUGUUUGUUGGCAGAAGACAAGCGGGUGACGAUAUACACAGAUUCAGCCUAUGCUCAUAAUGUGUGUCACUUGUUUGGAGCAGUGUGGAAGAAUCGAGGAUUCAAGAAGACAGACGGUUCUCCUAUACAACAUCACGCUCAGAUUAUGAAGUUGCUGCAUGCAAUGAUGAGGCCUAAGGAAAUAGCAAUAGCUAAAUGUGCGGCACAUAAAAGUGACAUUUCAAGGGUCACACAAGGUAAUAAAGCGGCUGAUGAAGCAGCCAGGACAGUUGUAGGAGCAGAUAAGAUGGGUAGAGUUCUUUUAGUUUCCCAUGAAGUGGACUUGGAGGAUAAUGUUACGCUCAGAGAUGUGAUUUUGAUGCAAGAAGCUGCAUCUGCCAUGGACAAACAACUUUGGUUGGACCGAGGUGCCACCCAGGAUUCCACCGGUCUAUGGAGAAAUCAUGAGGGGUUGAUGGUGGCGCCGCCAGAUCUGUUGGGUCUGAUGAUUCAUGAAGCGCAUGGACCAGCUCAUGUUGCAAGGGGGGAAGUUAGGAGAAAGAUCACGAAAGAGUAUGGGUUUUGGGCACCAUACUUGCUUGAGCAGAUUGAUUAUGUCAUAGGCAGAUGUAUUAUUUGUCUGAAACAUAAUGUUAGGAGGGGAGUGAUGGUUCCUCCUGGGCACAUUCCAACUCCAAAGGGCCCAAUGCGUGAGCUAGUUGUGGACUUUGUUGACAUGAUAAGACCGGUGGGAGGAAAGAGAUACAUGCUAGUCGUGGUUGACAGGUUUUCACGUUGGCCUGAGGCGUGUCCAACCAAGCGAAAGGAUGCUCAGUCUGUUGCUAAGUUCUUGUGCCGUGAGGUCAUAAGUAGGUGGGGACUUCCAGAUCGAAUAUCUUCAGACAAUGGGAAGGAGUUUGUGGAUAAAACGGUGAGACUAAUCCUACAAAAAUUGGGAAUUAAACAACGUCUGGGUGCUGUUUAUCAUCCGCAAAGCCAAGGUAUUUGUGAGAAAAUGAAUGGUGUGUUGAAAAAUCGCAUUGUUAAAAUCUGUCAACACACAGGUUUGAACUGGGUAGCAGCGCUUCCAUUAGCAUUAAUGGUGUGUCGUUCAAGCGAGCUCCGUGAUUUGCGUAUGACACCUCAUGAGUUGGCUACGGGAAGACGGAUGCCAACACCUUGUUUGCGCACAAGCGGAAAGGGUCCAAGUUUGGAACUUUUGGAAGAUGAAAUGCGAGCGUACGUUAAGUACAUGGCUGCUUUGCAUAAGCGAAUAUCCACGUAUGUUUCUGACAGGCAAAAACAGGAGGAGGUGCAAGAGAAGCUCGAUGAGCAAAAGAAGGACGUGGUGCAGCCUGGAGACAAGGUAUUCGUGAAGGUGUUUAGGAGGAAGUGGUUUAACGAACGCCGUGAGGGACCAUUUGAAGUUGUUCGCAGCACUGGAACUGCGGUACAGGUUAAAGGGUCCCCGACGUGGUAUCACUUGUCGCAUUGUGUUAAAGCACCAAAGGGAGAGGAACCACGAUUACAGAGCAGAGAAGAUGAGGACUCAGGAGUACCAGGAGAAUCUGCUAAAGAAGCAGUGGUACAUGAGGACCUCCAAGGUCACACUCCAGAAGGAGAAGUGGAUGUUUUUGAUGAUUUUGAGCAUACUUUUGAUGAUGCCGGAGAUGACUUUUCAGUCAAUGGACAGGAAAGGAGAUUUGAGGACGUUGACUUACAACACGUCCCAGAAACAGCAGAAUCUGUUUCUCAAGAAUGUGAGUCAAAGACUCCAGAGGGCUGUGUCGCCUCUCCAGGAGGGUCAGCGGAACCACUUGGAUCGAGGAGCCCAAGGCCAGUCCGGAGAAAGGUUAGACCAAGACGUUAUGAGGACUAGGAUUGAAGCGACCCUGAGGAAGUCUGUUCGGCUUCCAUGUCAGUGUAUUGAGGGAUAUCAAGUUCAGUGGGAAGAUAAUCAUGGUAAAAUUCUUGAUUUGUCAGAUACAUCACCCUCAGGAAAGUUUGUGUUCAAUAAUGACCCCAAGAGGUUGAAGAUGGGAGGAGACUGUAGUAUUUAUUUACGUAGAUUUCAGUUAGAGGAUCAAGGUGAUUAUAGAUGUUCUCACCAUGAAUCACAGGAACAUGGUGUGCAGUUAAAGUUGGGGGCUAGUGUGGUGACUUUAGUGGAGAUAAAUGAGAGUAGGAAUAAAGAAUCCCAAGUUGUUAAAGAACCACAAAUGGUACCAACUCUUUUGCCAAAAGUUAACAAAGUAAAGCAGACAUCUACUUCUUUGGUUCCGAAGGUUGCUGAUGUAUUAUAUUUAACCACAGUUGUGUCUACUCCAGUUACUACUUUGGUUACUACUAUGGUAGGGGAGAGUGUGACAAAACUGAAGGUAACAACAUCUACAUUGCGUUUAGAGCCCGCAAAGAUGACACCGAUACCUGUUGCUAUAUCUAUGACGCCCACGACAUUGAAGGAUGUAGUGGAUGUGAAGCAAAAGUCCCAGAUAGAGUUGAAGGAUGAAUUGUCUCAUACUAGUAAGCAAGUGGACAGUCGAGAGCCAAUUGUUGAGAACGCUGAUGUAGAUUUAUUGCAGACAGUUCAGAUGAACGUAUCAGAGGUACAUAAUGAUGGUUGGACAUCGGUAGAUGGGACUGAGGCUUUGCGUACAUUACGGAAGAGAGACACUAACUGGAAGGCGUAUGGUUUUGACUCCUCAGUGAUGAAAAUUGCAGACCCAUGGGCAAGUAGGAAUUUGUGGUUUCAGCAGGUGACCCACUCUGUGAGAUCUAUUAGUAGGCUAAAUUGUCCAUGUCUGGUGAAAAUUCCAUCUCCAGGCACAUGGCCUUCGAUUUUGGAGACGGUGCCGAAUCCGUUGGCGGCUCCAUGUCAAUCGAAUGCCUUAAUAUGGUUGUCUUAUCAACAGGGGUCACCGGCAGCUGCCCUGAAGGCUUUGUGGGGGACUUUAUUUCAGCCAGGUUCUAUUUGUUCUUGGCUGAGGACAUUGCCAUAUGUGAAUUUGAUGGACCAACAUGAGAAUGUACUGACGGCACUCCCUGAUGCAUUAGAUGUGAAACCUGUGAGAGCUUUUGGUUGUUUCUGUUCCAAUACGACAUAUAUGGGAUCUGGAAUGUUUAUGGGAAUAUCUCGCUGUAAUGAAUAUAGGAUGCAUUUGGGUAAGGGUAAACUUAUAAAUCCUCAUGAAUUGUUUCCUGUAACUUUCCGUUUGCCCUAUAACCAAAAUAAGACUGUGUGGGUGCUGGAUCGUCCUUUGCCUGCGAACGUUACUGUAGGAAAUUUUAAGGAUAUUUGGUGGGUUUGUGGUGACAAGGCGUAUUUGUUUUUGCCAAAUGGAUGGACAGGGUGUUGUUAUAUGGCAACAUUGAAACUCCCGUAUGAGGUUUUGGCUGUCAAGGACACUAAUGCAACUGACAAAGUUCAGUCUAAUGUUGCUCCUACGAAUAGGAAGAGAAGAGAGUUGGCGCAGUUUCAUAGUUUGGAGUCCUACCAUUGGAGGAUAAGUUUGGGUGAAAAAUGGGGUAUAGGACUCCUUCCGUGGUAUGGCGUUACGUUUUUGGCUGAUCAUAUUGAUAAUAUCACUUAUACCCUGCAGGGUUUUGCGAAUGAGACUAUAAGAGGGUUUGGUUAUUUGUCGAAUGCUCAGAGGAGUCAUAGACUGACAUUGUUGAAACAUGAUAUGGCUCUGGACUAUAUUUUGGCCAGACAGGGUGGUUUAUGUGUGGCUUUGAAUUUAACUGGGGAUGCUUGUUACACGUUGGUUCCUGAUACUUCUGAUAAUAUCACUAGUGUGAUAGAUGCGUUGCAAGCCAUUAGGGAUGCGUUUGGUCCAUCGGAAGGUGCUGGAUGGUCUGCUAAUGCUUGGCUGGAGGACCAAUUGGGUCCAGUGGGUGCUGUUUUAAUCCAAAUUUUGAUAGCGGUUCUUUUGUCAUUGUGUGUGAUGUUUUGUUUCUGUACGUUGUUGUUGACCUUUGCGAAGGCUAUGAUAUUGAGAUGGGUUGGUGUUGUGAUGCCGGGUGACAACGUUCAGAUGCCAUUAUUGAAUGGGGCUUCCUUGAGUGAAGAUGUGGCGGAUGUCAUGGAGAGUCGGAUGGUGGAUAUAUAUCCCUUUUGACUGUCUCUUUUGGUGUGGUUCUGCUUUUUCUUUUUGUAGUUCCUUACAGGGGGAAAUGGGUACUUAUGGUUGAUUUUCGAAUUUUGAAUUUUUUAUUUUUUACUUUUUAUCCUUUAGUAUAUUGCAAUAUAUUAUACUGUGUUUGAUGUGUUUGUUGUUGCAAGAUACUGGUUGGUGUGUUUUGUCUUCUUCCCAG
ensembl:lncRNA